AGCGAACGCUGGCGGCAGGCCUAACACAUGCAAGUCGAACGAACUCUUCGGAGUUAGUGGCGGACGGGUGAGUAACACGUGGGAACGUGCCUUUUGGUUCGGAAUAACUCAGGGAAACUUGUGCUAAUACCGAAUGUGCCCUUCGGGGGAAAGAUUUAUCGCCAUUAGAGCGGCCCGCGUCUGAUUAGCUCGUUGGUGAGGUAACGUCUCACCAAGGCGACGAUCAGUAGCUGGUCUGAGAGGAUGGCCAGCCACGCUGGGACUGGGACACGGCCCAGACUCCUAGGGGAGGCAGCAGUGGGGAAUCUUGCGCAAUGGGCGAAGGGCUGACGGAGCCAUGCCGCGUGAAUGAUGAAGGUCUUAGGAUAGUAAAAUUCUUUCACCGGGGGCGAUAAUGACGGUACCCGGAGAAGAAGCCCCGGCUAACUUCGUG
rnacentral:rRNA from 1 species